CAUGAGGAAGUGGAGUGCCAAGAGUUGGCGCCCCUUGAGUCUCCUUGCCGUCCUUUCUUCAUCUAUUUAAAUGGGGCACCUCUUAUGGGAUAAGGGCUAGAUUUUGGUGAAAAAUCAGAGACCUUGGCAUGUGAUAAGAGAAAAAAAAGAUUUAAAAAAUAUCAUAGGAAAAAUUAAAAAAAAAUUGAGUGGAAAAUAAAAAGAAGAGAGGUGAGAAAAAUAGCAAGUGAGGUGUGCUUGUCCUAGGGUUUGAUUUUAUCAUAUGUUGGAGCACAAAAUCAAAUCCUAGGUUGUGAGACUUCUAGAGAGAAUUAUCUUGGCAUAAUCUUAGUGGAGAAAUUGAAAGCAAUAGAGCAUUAGUGUGAUCAUUCUUUAAGUAUGAAGCCGGUAGUGUUCUUGUGAAGAAUAGACUGUGAUGGUGCAUUGGUUGGGAAGGAUCUUGACCAUUUUUCGUGUGGAUCACUAUUGGAGGAUUUUUAUUUUGGAGUCUUAUGAAGAUUACUUUCUUACUAUACUGCUUAUUUAAGGAAGUAUAAAUUUCUAACUCUUUACAUGUUUGGAUUUUGUUUUGUUCGAUAUCUACAAGAUGAUUCUAAAGUUUGAGUUCCAGUUUGACAGCUUUAAUUGUUAAAGCUUUUGAUUUGCAUAUCCAAAAAUUUUUAAAAUUCAUAUUCCACU
rnacentral:lncRNA from 1 species